UGAAAAUAAAAAAAAAUAAGCAAUGGAAAAUGUACGAUUUAUUUACGAAUUUCUAUACAUUAUACAGGUUUAAAUAAUCUUUAUUAAUAUUUAGACGGAACUCCGGCAGAAAAAAUAACUUGGAGGUGUUCCAUUAAAGGUUGGGAAUGACACAGGGGGUAUUUCUCCAUCCCCUCUUCCAUCUCCCAUCAAAAAAACCUCAAAAAUCGACGGGUCAUAUUGGAAAGUUUAACC